rnacentral:rRNA from 1 species
CCUACGGGAGGCAGCAGUGGGGAAUCUUGCGCAAUGGGCGAAAGCCUGACGCAGCAACGCCGCGUGCGGGAAGAAGGCCUUCGGGUUGUAAACCGCUUUCAGCAGGAACGAAAAUGACGGUACCUGCAGAAGAAGGUGCGGCCAACUACGUGCCAGCAGCCGCGGUGACACGUAGGCACCAAGCGUUGUCCGGAUUUAUUGGGCGUAAAGAGCUCGUAGGCGGUUCAGUAAGUCGGGUGUGAAAACUCUGGGCUUAACCCAGAGCCUGCACCCGAAACUGCUGUGACUAGAGUUCGGUAGGGGAGCGGGGAAUUCCUGGUGUAGCGGUGAAAUGCGCAGAUAUCAGGAGGAACACCGGUGGCGAAGGCGCCGCUCUGGGCCGACACUGACGCUGAGGAGCGAAAGCGUGGGUAGCAAACAGGAUUAGAUACCCUGGUAGUCCACGCCGUAAACGUUGGGCGCUAGGUGUGGGUCUCAACCAACGAGAUCCGCGCCGUCGCUAACGCAUUAAGUGCCCCGCCUGGGGAGUACGGUCGCAAGACUAAAACUCAAAGGAAUUGACGG